GACACCAUAGCUAGAGUUUCUUUGCUUUUUCAAGCUCAUAGUAAGUGCAUCCUAGCCCCAUUUUUAAUGUUCUUUGCAUUUUUGAGAUUCCCGUAGCUCGGUUUAUCUAUUUCUACUGUUAUUUUGAGCUAGGGUUGAAAUUUGAAAAAUUACCCAUGUGUGAAAUAUAUGUAUUUUGAUGUUUUAUGGAAGAAUGUAAAGCUAGAAUUUAUAUUAAACAACUUUUGCUAGCCGAUUUUAAGUGAAACCGAGCAAAAUAACAUAAUCGGUAAAAAUAUUUAAUGUUCAUAAGUAAGAGUUAGAGUGAGAAUUUGAUGUUACCAUAGAAGGAAAAAGUGUUCAGCAUGUUGUAAAACAUAAGAAUAAAGAAUGAAAUUUAAUUUUCGAACAUUGGGACAAAAAUGUAAAUAUGUAAAAGUUUAGGGACAGAAUUGUAAACUAUUGGAAAGUAAGAAUCUUUGUGGAACUGUUGGAAUGGUAAAGAUUUGAAUAAAGUAUCGAUGAACACGUGUGUAGUACUAAGUGAAGGCUACUACGUAUAUCGAUAAAUAAUGGUCACAUGUGUAGUACUAAGUGAAGGCUACUAUGUGUACCGAAAAGCUUUGGUCACGUGUGUAGUACUAUGUGAAGGCUAUUACGUGAACCGUAAAACUUGAUCACGUGUGUAAUACUAUGUGAAGGCUACUAUGUGUAUCGAAUGAUAAUAGUAACAUGGGUGGUACUAUCUGAAAACCCCCAAAUAUUUCUUGUUAUACCGACAUGUUCAACGAGAUAUGAGUAUGUGAUUGAAAUGUGAUAAGUUGCGAAAGAGUGACUGAAGUAAUGAAGUCUUGUAUUGUGUUAUAAAAUAAAUGGUUAUAGUGCUAUGUGAAUGAGAGAUGUUGGAAUAGAAUAGAUUUGGACAGUGACAGUGAUGUUAGUUUGAAAAAUCACCAAAAAAUUAUAGGAAUUGAGUUAGUGGUUGAAUAAGACAUGGAAUUAAAGCUUAAUGAGUUUACUUUCACAUAAAAGAGAAAGAACGGCCAAAGGAGUUAUAUAUUCUAAGAUAUUGAAAUUUUAGUGAGACAAUGUCUGAAUGAUUUCGAAAUCCUCUAUUCUAACUUUUGAAAAUCACUAAAAAUUGUACAAAAAUAAUUAUGUUUUUUAAUUUACAUUCUUAAAUUUCUUAUUGAGUCUAUUUUCAAAAGAAAUAAGUGGGAACAUCAUUUGAAUUAUGUACUAAGAGAUAACUGAAUUUUAGUGAAGAGAGGUCAGAAAUGUCAAGUAGAGAAACAGGGGAAUCUUUAGAGAAUAAACUGUAUUAAUUGGCUGAAUCAAAAAUUCUUAAAAUUUUAUGGUAAGAAUGUAUAUGAGUCUAGUUUCAGGAAAAAUUUACGGAUUUUAAUUUGGAGUUUUGUAGCUCCAGAUAAAAAUAAUUUAGUGACUGUGACGCAGAAAAACAGUUUGCUGGAAAUUGAAUACAUAAUAGAUUUAUGUGUGAUAAAAAAUAUAUUAUCCAUGAUAUCCUGCUAGAAAUUUAUUUAUCGAUUACAUACAUACUUACUAAGCUAUAUGCUUACCUUACUCCUGUUUAUUUUCCCUUGUUUUAUAGUGACAUCAAUCAGCUCGGAAAUUGAACGAGGUUAGAACAUCAUCCACACUAUCAUCAUCAUCUUGUGGGUAUUUUGCAACCAAUACUUUUGAAAUAUGGCAUGUAUAGAUGACUUAAUGUAAUGUGGUAUAAAUAUAUAUAUUGUUUGAUUUAAAAUGUUGGUGUAUAUUAGUUGAUAAAUUGUUUUCUUAAAACUACUAACAAAGUAUUUAGAAUGUUGUAGAUGGAUAAAUUGUGUCUGAACAUAUAACUGUAAAUGGUUGAAAUAUUGAAG
rnacentral:lncRNA from 1 species